UCUCCGUUGGUGAACCAGCGGAGGGAUCAUUACCAGAGUUUUACAACUCCCAACCCUUCUGUGACCCUACCUAUCGCUCCUUCGGCGGACUAGCCCCAGCGUCCGGGCGGCCCCGCGCCGGCCCGCGACCGAGACCCAGCCGGCCGCCGGGAGCCACUGACACCUGUACCCAUCCGGCUCUCUGAAUCGGCCGCAAGCCAUAACAAACGAAACAAAACUUUCAACAAUGGAUCUCUUUGUUGUAGCGUCGAUGAAGAAAGCAGCAGGUCAGAAGAGCAC
rnacentral:misc_RNA from 1 species